rnacentral:misc_RNA from 1 species
UAUUCUCAAUUCUCUCAACUUUUGUUGUCAGAAUUGGACUUGGAGGUAUGCCGGUGUUUUAAUCAACAUCAGCUCCUCUGAAAUGUAUUAGUGUGAAUGUGUUGCACAUUUUUCAGUGUGAUAAUUAUCUGCGCUGUAGAUGUUGUAACAAAAUUUAUAGUUCAUGCUUCUAACCGUCUGUUUACUCAGACAAACUUAUAUACUUUGAA